rnacentral:lncRNA from 1 species
UGCACACCGGGUUCUAAAGACCAGAAACCUGCCUGAAGGUUGCCUGACGUGUGAUAGGGUUCGCGCUCAGGCGGCCCAGUAACCUUACAGGGUUUGUAGGGCGCCGCAAGGAAUGCGUGUUGGAUACGCCUGCUCCCUGAUCAGAGCCCGGAAAUUACAGGGUUGAUGACAUGGGAAACCACUUCUCACUGGAGAUGAAAUAUGCUGUUGCAGUGGGAGAAGCGACUACCACCGCUUGUUGUGGGACCCAGGGCACAUCACCUGUUAUCUCUGUACCCCGUUUCUUCAUCGAAAACAAUGAAAUGCUUUGUCUUAAAUCUGCUAUUCUUCUCAGAAGCCCCUGGUGUCUACAGUGAAAAGGACAUGAUUGAACUUUUUUCCCCUACCAGCCAGAACCUGACUCGGGAACAAGCCGGCUACUGCGUCUCCCAUGUGAAGCCCCAUGUGGACAGCAAGGGCCGUGAACUCCGCACCACUUUCGACUGUGUCGAGUUUACUCGCUUAUCCCCUUCUCCCCCAAGCCUUGUGCUGGAAUGUGACCUGAUGGUUGGACCUGCUGCAGCCAACCUGGGUUCAUGAGGGAAAUUUGAGGGAAUUCAGAGGCUCUGGACUUAACUAAACCAGAACCAAGAACCACAUGCCUCCGGACUUCCACUUAGGGCUAUCUAUCUUCCCAUCUAUAUUUGGAUUCUCCUAAGACUAGGUCCCCCUGUGGUUUUCGUCAAAUCUGAGCUCCUUAUCAUGAGCCAGCUGCCCUCCCCUGACUCAUGCUUGAUGCAGUGAUUGAUGGUGAGAAAGAAGCAAGAAG